AUGGACCUCUUCCCCGCCGCAGGGCAGCGGCCGCCAGCGCCACCGCUCUCAGGCCGCGUGGUGCCGCCGUCUGCUUCCGCCGCGGAGGAGUCCUCUGCGGCCGCGGCCGCGCGCCGGCGGCUGGAGUCGCUUGGCCAGGUGGUGGGGGUGCUUGGCACGCAGUGGGGGGACGAGGGGAAAGGCAAGCUUGUCGACAUCCUCGCGCGGCGCUUCGACGUCGUCGCCCGCUGCCAGGGUGGAGCUAAUGCUGGACAUACAAUAUAUAAUUCUGAGGGUAAGAAGUUUUCACUACAUCUUGUUCCAUCUGGGAUCCUAAAUGAGAACACGCAAUGUGUGAUUGGUAAUGGAACGGUAGUUCACCUUCCUGGGCUCUUUAAAGAAAUUGAUGAGUUGGAGUCUAAUGGAGUUUCCUGUGAAGGAAGAAUUAUGGUAUCAGACCGUGCCCAUCUUUUGUUUGAUUUUCACCAAGUUCUUGAUGGACUUAGGGAGGUAGAGCUCGGAAAUACCUUUAUAGGAACAACAAAGAGGGGAAUUGGGCCAUGUUAUUCAAACAAAGUUAUCAGGAAUGGACUCAGAGUAUGUGAUCUCCGACACAUGGACACCUUUGGUGCCAAACUUCAUAUCCUCAUGAAAGAUGCAGCUAUGCGAUUCAAAGGAUUUGAAUACAGCAGCAAGACCCUCAAAGAGGAGGUUGAUAAGUACGAAAAGUUUGCCGAACGUCUGGGACCUUACAUAACUGAUAUCGUGCAUUUCAUGAAUGAGUCGAUCUUGCAUAAGAAUAAAAUAUUGGUUGAAGGUGGUCAAGCAACCAUGUUAGACAUUGACUUCGGUACAUAUCCAUUUGUUACUUCCUCAAGUCCUUCAUCUGGAGGAAUCUGUACUGGCCUUGGUAUUGCCCCACGAAGCAUCGGUGAUGUCAUUGGAGUGGUAAAAGCCUAUACAACCAGGGUUGGAUCUGGUCCAUUCCCAACAGAGUUGUUGGGCAAGACCGGUGAUUUACUCCGUGCAUCUGGAAUGGAAUUCGGGACUACGACAGGUCGGCCCAGGCGUUGUGGAUGGCUCGAUAUAGUUGCUCUCAAAUACUCAUGCCAAAUCAACGGCUUUUCAUCUCUAAACCUGACAAAACUUGACGUACUGACCGGAUUGAAGGAAAUUAAGCUGGGCAUUUCCUAUUGUACCAAAGAUGGCAAAACGAUUGAAUCGUUCCCAGCAGACCUCAAUCUUUUGGAGCAAACAGAGGUCAAGUACGAGGCCAUGCCUGGGUGGGCGGAGGACAUUUCCUCAGUACAAGACUACAAUGAUCUCCCGGAAACUGCUCAACUAUAUGUGGAGAGGAUAGAGGAGUUGGUUAGUAUUCCAGUCCAUUACAUCGGUGUUGGACCUGGACGCGAUGCUCUAAUAUACAAAUAG
rnacentral:rRNA from 1 species